UACGUAGGGGGCAAGCGUUGUCCGGAAUCAUUGGGCGUAAAGCGCGUGUAGGCGGCCCGGUAAGUCCGCUGUGAAAGUCGGGGGCUCAACCCUCGAAUGCCGGUGGAUACUGUCGGGCUAGAGUGCGGGAGAGGCGAGUGGAAUUCCUGGUGUAGCGGUGAAAUGCGCAGAUAUCGGGAGGAACACCUAUGGCGAAGGCAGCUCGCUGGGACGUUACUGACGCUGGAGACGCGAAAGCGUGGGGAGCAAACAGG
rnacentral:rRNA from 1 species